GCAACUGGGAUGCGAUAACACGUGUCAACCAAGUCAGGGAGCCUGACCACCAGAUCCUGUUAGUCGCCCCUUAGGACAAGCAUGGGUUGCUGAUGAUCGAUUCUAACCGGGAUCUUCACAGGUCCAUCAUCAACAAAUAUUGUGAGCAUCAAUUUCAUGACUUAGAGUCACACUGGUCAGACACAUCGAUUCGGAGACACUUGACAUACAGUUUGUUUUCAUUAUUAUUAUUAUUUUUAUUAUAUACAGAUUUGAAUAAAUAAAUGCAACACAGGGUUUUCAGGUCCUCCUUGUUUAUUGUUAUUAUUAUUUAAUUAUAGAUGUGUUUUAUAGAUUGAAAAUUAUUUUUAUGUUUAACAGAUUUAGAUACAUGAAUGCAGCAAAGAAUACUUGCGUGAUCCUGGCACUGUCAGGCUGGUUACAAAUAAUGAUUAUUAUUAUUAUUUUGUUGUUUUACACGACUGUGACUCUUCAAGUGAGAGCCUCUCCCAAUUCUUUUGUUAUUUUGCUGACAUCUUUGGGAUGAAACCAUCUGAGAUGAUUACGUUUUUGUUUAAGUUGUGUAUGCUUUGUCAAUGAAAUGAAGGCACAGUAUAAUCUACAGGAUGAUGUUCCAAGAGGUUUGUAAUGCAGAUUCUUUGUCAGGGUAUGACUAUGGUUUGAUGUGACAGUGCGAUUUGUUAUAGUAAAUUCGACUUUUAGAGUUGAUGAUGUACAUGAUUAUUUAAGUAAAGUAUCCGAUUGGUUUAUGAUGAAUACAUAAUCAUAUUUGAUGUGUAUAGAUUUGGAAUGUACAUACGUCUAUGGUUGUUUGUUUGAGAAACAUGUACAAAGGUUAAGCAUGAUAUGUGAAGGAACCUUUUUCAAUCCAUUCAAAGUUGUUCACACUUGGCGCACCAGGUUAUUUUUGUUCUGUUUUUGUGCAGUAGCUUUAAAUGAUGAACUGGUGGAACUAACGACACGUGUACUUAUGAACUGUCAUAGGUACCUGCUUGUAAACUGUCAUUGGAAUUGGGGCAUAGGUACCUGCUUGUAAACUGCCAUUGGACUUGGGACACAGGUACCUGCUUGUAAGCUGUCAUUGGACUUUGGGCACAGGUACUUGAUUGUAAACUGUCAUUGGAAUUGGGGCAUUGGUACCUGCUUGUAAGCGGCCAUUGGACUUGGGACACAGGUACCUGUUUGUAAGCUGUCAUUGGACCUGGGACACAGGUACCUGCUUGUAAACUGUCAUUGGGAUUGGGACAUAGGUACCUGCUGUCCUUUUGCCUCCUAUGUAUCCGAUUGUAGACACUCACUCACUCCGGGGAAUGGGCAUCUGCUUCUAAAUCCUUAGUUACUCAGGGGAAAAGAGGGACCGCCAGUGUACUGCUCACUGUCACGCUUGAAGACCCUUCUGGGAGACUGGGCACCUGCUUGGAACUCUCAGAGAAUCCUGUACUGGGAUCGACACCAUCUUUCUAUAACUUUUGUAUUGAAAUCACAAUCUAUACUUACACAAAUGUACUUGUUUUGUUUUGUUAUAUCUAAUCAUAAUGUUGGGUAGAAAUUUAUAAUUUCAUGAAUUACACCAUUACGUCUUAUCCACUUAUUUUCUUUUGGUAUAUUAUUUACCAAUUAUUUUGUUUACCGCCCAUGUGUAUACACCGGUUUUUAUUUUGGGAUGUUUUACUGAUGAAUAUAUUAUGAUGGGUUGCCAUGGCUGCUGAUGACUUGUAAUGAGUGGAAGGAAUAAACGUAUUCCAUACAGAA